UACAGAGGAGCCAAGCGUUGUCCGGAUUGACUGGGCGUAAAGCGCACGCAGGCGGAUGCGCGCGUGGGGUGUGAAAUCUGGCCGCUUAACGGCCAGGCGCCAUCCCAUACGGCGCGUCUGGAGUGAUGCAGAGGUCGGUGGAAUUGCCGGUGUAGUGGUGAAAUGCGUAGAUAUCUGGAGGAAUACCGGUGGCGAAGGCGGCAUCCUGGACCAUUACUGACGCUGAAUCGCGAAAGCUAGGGGAGCAAACGGGG
rnacentral:rRNA from 1 species